rnacentral:RNase_P_RNA from 2 species
UAAGUAGGGCAGAUAAUCGCGGCUGCAAGUGUCGAAAGACCGCAGGUGAGGAAAGUCCGGGCUUCAUAGGGCAGGAUGCCGGCUAACGGCCGGUGGAGGUGACUCCAAGGACAGUGCAACAGAAAUAUACCGCCAGGUAACUGGUAAGGGUGGAAGGGCAGUGUAAGAGACUACCGCCUGUCUGGUAACAGACAGGGCAUAUGUAAACCCCAUCCGAAGCAAGACCGAAUAAAAGCGUUGACGUGGCCCGCCAGCUUUAGGUAGGUCGCUUGAGAUAACUGGCAACAGUUAUACUAGAUAGAUGAUUAUCCACGACAUAACCCGGCUUACAGCCCUGCUUAUUUU